AGGCGUGAUGACGAGGCACUACGGUGCUGAAGCAACAAAUGCCCUGCUUCCAGGAAAAGCCUCUAAGCAUCAGGUAACAUCAAAUCGUACCCCAAACCGACACAGGUGGUCAGGUAGAGAAUACCAAGGCGCUUGAGAGAACUCGGGUGAAGGAACUAGGCAAAAUGGUGCCGUAACUUCGGGAGAAGGCACGCUGAUAUGUAGGUGAAGUCCCUCGCGGAUGGAGCUGAAAUCAGUCGAAGAUACCAGCUGGCUGCAACUGUUUAUUAAAAACACAGCACUGUGCAAACACGAAAGUGGACGUAUACGGUGUGACGCCUGCCCGGUGCCGGAAGGUUAAUUGAUGGGGUCAGCGCAAGCGAAGCUCUUGAUCGAAGCCCCGGUAAACGGCGGCCGUAACUAUAACGGUCCUAAGGUAGCGAAAUUCCUUGUCGGGUAAGUUCCGACCUGCACGAAUGGCGUAAUGAUGGCCAGGCUGUCUCCACCCGAGACUCAGUGAAAUUGAACUCGCUGUGAAGAUGCAGUGUACCCGCGGCAAGACGGAAAGACCCCGUGAACCUUUACUAUAGCUUGACACUGAACAUUGAGCCUUGAUGUGUAGGAUAGGUGGGAGGCUUAGAAGUGUGGACGCCAGUCUGCAUGGAGCCGACCUUGAAAUACCACCCUUUAAUGUUUGAUGUUCUAACGUUGACCCGUAAUCCGGGUUGCGGACAGUGUCUGGUGGGUAGUUUGACUGGGGCGGUCUCCUCCUAAAGAGUAACGGAGGAGCACGAAGGUUGGCUAAUCCUGGUCGGACAUCAGGAGGUUAGUGCAAUGGCAUAAGCCAGCUUGACUGCGAGCGUGACGGCGCGAGCAGGUGCGAAAGCAGGUCAUAGUGAUCCGGUGGUUCUGAAUGGAAGGGCCAUCGCUCAACGGAUAAAAGGUACUCCGGGGAUAACAGGCUGAUACCGCCCAAGAGUUCAUAUCGACGGCGGUGUUUGGCACCUCGAUGUCGGCUCAUCACAUCCUGGGGCUGAAGUAGGUCCCAAGGGUAUGGCUGUUCGCCAUUUAAAGUGGUACGCGAGCUGGGUUUAGAACGUCGUGAGACAGUUCGGUCCCUAUCUGCCGUGGGCGCUGGAGAACUGAGGGGGGCUGCUCCUAGUACGAGAGGACCGGAGUGGACGCAUCACUGGUGUUCGGGUUGUCAUGCCAAUGGCACUGCCCGGUAGCUAAAUGCGGAAGAGAUAAGUGCUGAAAGCAUCUAAGCACGAAACUUGCC
rnacentral:rRNA from 1 species